AGAGUUUGAUCAUGGCUCAGAACGAACGUUAGCGGUGUGGAUUAGGCAUGCAAGUCGCGCGCGAAAACCUUCGGGUGAGUAAAGCGGCGAAAGGGUGAGUAACACGUAACCAAUCUACCCCCUAGACCGGAAUAACCACUGGAAACGGUGGAUAAUGCUGGAUGUUCCUGGCGCGAGGCAUCUCGUGCUUGGCAAACGGUGGCGCAAGCUGCUGCUAUGGGAGGAGGUUGCGGGCUAUCAGCUAGUUGGUGAGGUAACGGCUCACCAAGGCGAUGACGGCUACCGGGUCUGAGAGGACGGUCCGGCACACUGGGACUGAGACACUGCCCAGACUCCUACGGGAGGCUGCAGUCGAGAAUCUUCCGCAAUGGGCGAAAGCCUGACGGAGCGACACCGCGUGCAGGAUGAAGGCCUUCGGGUUGUAAACUGCUGUCACGCUUUAGGAAUGGCCUGACGUUAAUAGCGUCAGGAGUGACCAAGGCGAAAGGAAGCACCGGCUAACUCUGUGCCAGCAGCCGCGGUAAGACAGAGGAUGCAAACGUUGUUCGGAAUUACUGGGCAUAAAGCGCACGUAGGUGGUCCACUAAGUCGAGUGUGAAAUACCCCGGCUCAACCGGGGAAUUGCGCUCGAUACUGGUGGGCUAGAGGUCGGUAGGGGUGAGCGGAACUCCAGGCGGAGCGGUGAAAUGCGUAGAUAUCUGGAGGAACACCGGUGGCGAAAGCGGCUCACUGGAUCGAAUCUGACACUGAGGUGCGAAAGCUAGGGUAGCAAACGGGAUUAGAUACCCUAGUAGUCC
rnacentral:rRNA from 1 species